rnacentral:SRP_RNA from 1 species
GGCGGGCCUCCCGCAUUGCAUGGUCGUGAACCUGGUCAGGUCCGGAAGGAAGCAGCCAUAACGAUUCUCUGCAAGUGCCGGGGUUAGGCUCGCCACC